GUCCACGCCGUAAACGAUGUCGAUUUGGAGGCUGUGUCCUUGAGACGUGGCUUCCGGAGCUAACGCGUUAAAUCGACCGCCUGGGGAGUACGGCCGCAAGGUUGAAACUCAAAGGAAUUGACGGGAGCCCGCACAAGCAGUGGAGUAUGUGGUUUAAUUCGACGCAACGCGAAGAACCUUACCUGGUCUUGACAUAGUAAGAACUUUCCAGAGAUGGAUUGGUGCCUUUGGGAACUUACAUACAGGUGCUGCAUGGCUGUCGU
rnacentral:rRNA from 1 species